rnacentral:rRNA from 1 species
UACGUAGGGGGCAAGCGUUGUCCGGAAUUAUUGGGCGUAAAGAGCGUGUAGGCGGCCCGGUAAGUCCGCUGUGAAAGUCCAGGGCUCAACCCUGGGAUGCCGGUGGAUACUGUCGGGCUCGAGUCCGGAAGAGGAGUGUGGAAUUCCUGGUGUAGCGGUGAAAUGCGCAGAUAUCAGGAGGAACACCAAUGGCGAAAGCAGCUCUCCGGGACGGUACUGACGCUGAGACGCGAAAGCGUGGGGAGCGAACAGG